UACAGAGGUGUCAAGCGUUGCUCGGAUUCAUUGGGCGUAAAGGGUGCGUAGGCGGCGCGGUAAGUCGGGUGUGAAAUCUCGGAGCUUAACUCCGAAACUGCAUUCGAUACUGCCGUGCUUGAGGACUGGAGAGGAGACUGGAAUUUACGGUGUAGCGGUGAAAUGCGUAGAUAUCGUAAGGAAGACCAGUGGCGAAGGCGGGUCUCUGGACAGUACCUGACGCUGAGGAGCGAAAGCGUGGGGAUCAAACAGG
rnacentral:rRNA from 1 species